AUGCAAGUCGAGCGGUAACAGAUCCAGCUUGCUGGAUGCCGACGAGCGGCGGACGGGUGAGUAAUGCAUAGGAAUCUGCCCGAUAGUGGGGGAUAACCUGGGGAAACCCAGGCUAAUACCGCAUACGUCCUACGGGAGAAAGGGGGCUCCGGCUCCCGCUAUGGGAUGAGCCUAUGUCGGAUUAGCUAGUUGGUGAGGUAACGGCUCACCAAGGCCACGAUCCGUAGCUGGUCUGAGAGGAUGAUCAGCCACAUCGGGACUGAGACACGGCCCGAACUCCUACGGGAGGCAGCAGUGGGGAAUAUUGGACAAUGGGGGAAACCCUGAUCCAGCCAUGCCGCGUGUGUGAAGAAGGCCCUCGGGUUGUAAAGCACUUUCAGCGAGGAAGAACGCCUAGCGGUUAAUACCCGCUAGGAAAGACAUCACUCGCAGAAGAAGCACCGGCUAACUCCGUGCCAGCAGCCGCGGUAAUACGGAGGGUGCAAGCGUUAAUCGGAAUUACUGGGCGUAAAGCGCGCGUAGGUGGCUUGAUAAGCCGGUUGUGAAAGCCCCGGGCUCAACCUGGGAACGGCAUCCGGAACUGUCAAGCUANAGUGCAGGAGA
rnacentral:rRNA from 1 species